UUAGUUGAAGCCAAAAAGAGGCUAAUCACUGUUAAUGAUUUUAUUGAUAAACAUCCUGCUGUC
rnacentral:tRNA from 1 species